GACAGAGGAUGCAAGCGUUAUCCGGAAUGAUUGGGCGUAAAGCGUCUGUAGGUGGCUUUUUAAGUCCGCCGUCAAAUCCCAGGGCUCAACCCUGGACAGGCGGUGGAAACUACCAAGCUGGAGUAUGAUAGGGGUAGAGGGAAUUUCCAGUGGAGCGGUGAAAUGCGUAGAUAUUGGAAAGACCACCAAUGGCGAAGGCACUCUACUGGGCCAUUACUGACACUGAGAGACGAAAGCUAGGGGAGCGAAUGGG
rnacentral:rRNA from 1 species